CCUACGGGUGGCAGCAGUGAGGAAUAUUGGUCAAUGGACGAGAGUCUGAACCCGCCCAGUAGCGUGAAGGAUGACUGCCCUAUGGGUUGUAAACUUCUUUUAUAUGGGAAUAAAACGUUCCACGUGUGGGAUUUUGUAUGUACCAUAUGAAUAAGGAUCGGCUAACUCCGUGCCAGCAGCCGCGGUAAUACGGAGGAACCGAGCGUUAUCCGGAUUUAUUGGGUUUAAAGGGAGCGUAGGUGGAUUGUUAAGUCAGUUGUGAAAGUUUGCGGCUCAACCGUAAAAUUGCAGUUGAAACUGGCAGUCUUGAGUACAGUAGAGGUGGGCGGAAUUCGUGGUGUAGCGGUGAAAUGCUUAGAUAUCACGAAGAACUCCGAUUGCGAAGGCAGUUCACUGGACUGCAACUGACACUGAGGCUCGAAAGUGUGGGUAUCAAACAGGAUUAGAUACCCUAGUAGUC
rnacentral:rRNA from 1 species